GCCAGCAGCCAUAUCACUCUGUAACUCACAACUGGCAGUGGCAAUCCACUGAAGCUAAACAGGUAUGAGCCUGGUCAGUACCUGGAUAGGAGACCUCCUGUGAAAAACUAAGGUUGCUGCUGGAA
rnacentral:rRNA from 1 species